rnacentral:rRNA from 1 species
AUGACUCUCGACAACGGAUAUCUCGGCUCUCGCAUCGAUGAAGAACGUAGCGAAAUGCGAUACUUGGUGUGAAUUGCAGAAUCCCGUGAACCAUCGAGUCUUUGAACGCAAGUUGCGCCCGAAGCCACUAGGCUGAGGGCACGUCUGCCUGGGUGUCACGCAUGAUCUUUGCCCACAACCAUUCACUCCUUGAGGAGAUGUGUCGGUUUGGGGGCGGAAAUUGGCCUCCCGUGCCUUGUUGUGCGGUUGGCGCAAAAUCUAGUCUCCGGCGACGGACGUCGUGACAUCGGUGGUUGUAAAAGACCCUCAUGUCUUGUCGCGCGAAUCCUCGCCAUCUUAGUGAGCUCUAGGACCCUUAGGCGGCACACACUCUGUGCGCUUCGAUU